GGGAAGGCUAAAACAGUCAGGAUGUUGGCUUAGAAGCAGCCAUCAUUUAAAGAAAGCGUAAUAGCUCACUGAUCGAGUCGUCCUGCGCGGAAGAUGUAACGGGGCUAAGCCAGUUACCGAAGCUGCGGAUGUGCAAUUUAUUGCACGUGGUAGGAGAGCGUUCUGUAAGCCUGUGAAGGUGUCUGGUAACGGAUGCUGGAGGUAUCAGAAGUGCGAAUGCUGACAUGAGUAGCGUUAAAGGGGGUGAAAAGCCCCCUCGCCGUAAGCGCAAGGUUUCCUACGCAACGUUCAUCGGCGUA
rnacentral:rRNA from 1 species